GAAAUGCGAUAAGUAAUGUGAAUUGCAGAAUUCCGUGAAUCAUCGAAUCUUUGAACGCACAUUGCGCCCUCUGGCAUUCCGGGGGGGAUGCCUGUCCGAGCGUCAUUACGCACCCUCAAGCCCGGCUUGUGUGAUGGGCCCCGGCGUCUCGUUCGCGAGACGGGCCCGAAAGGCAGCGGCGGCGUCGACCCGAUGAGCCCGAGCGUAUGGGGACUUCUGUCACACGUUCGCGGUGCGGACCGGCGCCUGCUUGACUCUUCUGAUUAUCCAGGUUGACCUCGGAUCAGGUAGGGAUACCCGCUGAACUUAAGC
rnacentral:misc_RNA from 1 species